GAAGCGAAAGUAAAAUUUCGUGGAGGUCCGAACCCACGAGCGUUGAAAAGCUCGGGGAUGACUUGUGGGUAGCGGUGAAAUUCCAAUCGAGCCCGGAGAUAGCUGGUUCUCCCCGAAAUAGCUGUAGGGCUAGCCUCAAGGUGAGAGAUACGGAGGUAGAGCACUGAAUGUCCUAGGGGGUAUUGCACCUACCGAAGACUAUCAAACUCCGAAUGCCGUCAUCUUAUACUUGGGAG
rnacentral:rRNA from 1 species